GAUGAACGCUGGCGGCGUGCCUAAUACAUGCAAGUCGAGCGAACAGACGAGGAGCUUGCUCCUCUGACGUUAGCGGCGGACGGGUGAGUCACACGUGGAUAACCUACCUGUCUGACUGAGAUAACUUCGGGACACCGGAGCUAAUACCGGAGAAUAUAUUGAACCGCGUUGUUCAAUGGUAAAAGACGGCUUUGCGGUCACUUAUAGCUGCAUCCGCGCUGCAUUAGCUAGUUGGUAAGGUAACGGCUUACCAAGGCAAGGAUGCGUAGGCGACCUGAGAGGGGGAUCGGCCACACUGGAACGGAGACACGGUCAAGACGCCUACGAGAGGCAGCAGUAGCGAAUCUUCCGCAAUGGGGGAAAGCCUGACGGAGCAACGCCGCGUCAGUGAUGAAGGUCUUCGGAGCGUACAACUCUGUUAUUAGGGAAGAACAAAUGUGUAAGUAACUAAGCACGUCUUGACGGUACCUAAUCAGAAAGCCACGGCUAACUACGUG
rnacentral:rRNA from 1 species